rnacentral:rRNA from 1 species
GGAGCGGCCGAUGUCCGAUUAGCUAGUUGGUGAGGUAAAGGCUCACCAAGGCGACGAUCGGUAGCUGGUCUGAGAGGACGAUCCGCCACACUGGGACUGAGACACGGCCCAGACUCCUACGGGAGGCAGCAGUGGGGAAUUUUGGACAAUGGGGGCAACCCUGAUCCAGCAAUGCCGCGUGGGUGAAGAAGGCCUUCGGGUUGUAAAGCCCUUUGGUCGGGGAAGAAAUCGGCCGGGCGAAUAGCGCGGCUGGAUGACGGUACCCGCAGAAGAAGCACCGGCUAACUACGUGCCAGCAGCCGCGGUAAUAC